UACAGAGGUGGCAAGCGUUGUUCGGAAUUACUGGGCGUAAAGGGCGCGUAGGCGGCCUUGUAAGUCCUGUGUGAAAUCCCCCGGCUCAACUGGGGAACUGCACAGGAGACUGCUUGGCUUGAGUUCGGGAGAGGGAAGCGGAAUUCCGGGUGUAGCGGUGAAAUUCGUAGAGAUCGGGAGGAACACCAGUGGCGAAGGCGACUAUCUGGCUGACAACUGACGCUGAGACUCGAAAGCAUGGGGAGCAAACAGG
rnacentral:rRNA from 1 species